rnacentral:rRNA from 1 species
AGUCGAACGGGCUUGGGGGCUUGCUCCCGGGUUAGUGGCGAACGGGUGAGUAAUAUAUCGGAACAUAUCCGGAAGUGGGGGAUAACGUAGCGAAAGUUACGCUAAUACCGCAUAUGCCCUGAGGGGGAAAGGGGGGGAUCGCAAGACCUCUCGCUUUCGGAGUGGCCGAUACCGGAUUAGCUAGAUGGUGAGGUAAAGGCUCACCAUGGCGACGAUCCGUAGCUGGUCUGAGAGGACGACCAGCCACACUGGAACUGAGACACGGUCCAGACUCCUACGGGAGGCAGCAGUGGGGAAUUUUGGACAAUGGGCGAAAGCCUGAUCCAGCCAUACCGCGUGAGUGAAGAAGGCCUUCGGGUUGUAAAGCUCUUUCAGCCGGAAAGAAAUCGCACUUUUUAAUACGGAGUGUGGAUGACGGUACCGGAAGAAGAAGCACCGGCUAACUACGUGCCAGCAGCCGCGGUAAUACGUAGGGUGCGAGCGUUAAUCGGAAUUACUGGGCGUAAAGCGUGCGCAGGCGGUUUGAUAAGCCAGAUGUGAAAUCCCCGGGCUUAACCUGGGAACUGCAUUUGGAACUGUCAGACUAGAGUGUAGCAGAGGGGGGUAGAAUUCCACGUGUAGCAGUGAAAUGCGUAGAUAUGUGGAGGAAUACCAAUGGCGAAUGCAGCCCCUCUGGGUUAACACUGACGCUCAUGCACGAAAGCGUGGGGAGCAAACAGGAUUAGAUACCCUGGUUAGUCCACGCCCUAAACGAUGUCAACUAGUUGUUGGGGGAGGAGACUUCCUUAGUAACG